CGGGCGAUGGCGCAGGAGCCAAAAACGACGAUGCGCCGUCGUCGUUCCGCGGUUCUACCCGAUCGAACCUCAAAAUCCCUCUGCGAUUCAGCAGCAGCAGCAGCAGCACAUCGGAUCAAGAAGCGCCAUUGAUCUUGAAGGAGAAGAAGAAGAAGAAGGAAAUGGCGUUGUUCGCGAGAGGAGAGCCGCUGGUCGCGAAGCUCGCGGCGUUGGCCAAGUACGUGGUGCUUCCCGGCGCCAUGGCGGCCGCCGUCGUCUACUCGCCGCCCGGCUACGCUUCCUCCUCCGGCAAGCACGGCAAAUCCCCCAAAUAAUCCGACCUCCUCUUCUCCGCUGGUGGAUGGAGUGUGCAUUCUGUGGUUGAUAUUUUGAAGAUGGAGGAAUGCUGUGUUUCCGGCUGAUGGCUCGGCAUCUUUUCACUGCAGGCGGUCCGGGCCAUCAUGCAGACUUUUCAUGUUCUGGAAAACUUUGCUUCACAUUUCUGUGUAAUAUAACACUUAAUAAUUCAGAUGGCUUGCGAUCACCAUGAAUUGCAUAGACAUUCCAAAUAUCGUGUAGGUAUCGCAUUUCUGAGUUGUUAAUCUUUCUUGUUGCUUGA